GGUAACACGUAUCCAACCUGCCGUCUACUCUUGGACAGCCUUCUGAAAGGAAGAUUAAUACAAGAUGGCAUCAUGAGUUCACAUGUUCACAUGAUUAAAGGUAUUCCGGUAGACGAUGGGGAUGCGUUCCAUUAGAUAGUAGGCGGGGUAACGGCCCACCUAGUCUUCGAUGGAUAGGGGUUCUGAGAGGAAGGUCCCCCACAUUGGAACUGAGACACGGUCCAA
rnacentral:rRNA from 1 species